rnacentral:rRNA from 1 species
GAUGAACGCUGGCGGCGUGCCUAAUACAUGCAAGUCGAGCGAACGGACGAGAAGCUUGCUUCUCUGAUGUUAGCGGCGGACGGGUGAGUAACACGUGGAUAACCUACCUAUAAGACUGGGAUAACUUCGGGAAACCGGAGCUAAUACCGGAUGAUAUUUUGAACCGCAUGGUUCAAAAGUGAAAGACGGUUUUGCUGUCACUUAUAGAUGGAUCCGCGCUGCAUUAGCUAGUUGGUAAGGUAACGGCUUACCAAGGCAACGAUGCAUAGCUGACCUGAGAGGAUGAUCGGCCACACUGGAACUGAGACACGGUCCAGACUCCUACGGGAGGCAGCAGUAGGGAAUCUUGCGCAAUGGGCGAAAGCCUGACGGAGCAACGCCGCGUGAGUGAUGAAGGUCUUCGGAUCGUAAAACUCUGUUAUUAGGGAAGAACAUAUGUGUAAGUAACUGUGCACGUCUUGACGGUACCUAAUCAGAAAGCCACGGCUAACUACGUG